rnacentral:tmRNA from 1 species
GGGGGCGUUUAUGGAUUCGACGGGGAUUGAACGAGCAUGGGUUGCGGGUAGUGGGGAGUCGUCCACUAUAAAACGCUAAAGCCUAUUAAAUGGCAAACAACAAACUUCUUACGCUGUAGCAGCUUAAUAACCUGCACGCGUGCUCUCGCUCUGUAUCGCCCAUGUACCGGGAUGAGGGCUCAACUUUAGUGGGAUACGCUGUCACAUCUCCGCCUGGGGUGUGCUGAAGAAGACAAUCAGGCUGGGCCUAGCGAAAGCCGGUUACGGGGCGUUUGCUUUGCCGACAUUAAAACUGUGACUACACCCGUAGAGGCCUAUGUGGCGUAGUCUUCGGACAGGGGUUCAAAUCCCCUCGCCUCCACCA